GACAGAGGAUGCAAGCGUUAUCCGGAAUGAUUGGGCGUAAAGCGUCUGUAGGUGGCUUUUCAAGUCCGCCGUCAAAUCCCAGGGCUCAACCCUGGACAGGCGGUGGAAACUACCAAGCUGGAGUACGGUAGGGGAGACUGGAAUUCCGUGGUGUAGCGGUGAAAUGCGCAGAUAUCAGGAGGAACACCGGUGGCGAAGGCGGGGUCUCUGGGCCGAUACUGACGCUGAGGAGCGAAAGCGUGGGGAGCGAACAGG
rnacentral:rRNA from 1 species